CGAAGGAUGCAAGCGUUAUCCGGAUUCAUUGGGUUUAAAGGGAGCGUAGGUGGUCUUAUAAGUCAGUGGUGAAAAUCUCUGGGCUUAACCCAGAAAUUGCCAGUUGAUACUGUCGGACUUGAGUAUAGUUGCCGUUGGCGGAAUAUGACAUGUAGUGGUGAAAUACAUAGAGAUGUCAUAGAACACCGAUUGCGAAGGCAGCUGACGAAACUAUAACUGACACUGAGGCUCGAAAGUGCGGGGAUCAAACAGGAUUAGAUACCCUGGUAGUCCGCACUGUAAACGAUGAUUACUCGCUGCUGGAGGGUCAACUUUCAGUGGCUUAGCAAAAGCGAUAAGUAAUCCACCUGGGGAGUACGCCGGCAACGGUG
rnacentral:rRNA from 1 species